UAACUGAAGAGUUUGAUCCUGGCUCAGAUUGAACGCUGGCGGCAUGCCUAACACAUGCAAGUCGAACGGCAGCACGGGGGCAACCCUGGUGGCGAGUGGCGGACGGGUGAGGAAUGCAUAGGAAUCUGCCCAGUUGUGGGGGAUAACGUAGGGAAACUUACGCUAAUACCGCAUACGACCUACGGGUGAAAGAGGGGGACCUUCGGGCCUCUCGCGAUUGGAUGAGCCUAUGCCGGAUUAGCUAGUUGGCGGGGUAAAAGCCCACCAAGGCGACGAUCCGUAGCUGGUCUGAGAGGAUGAUCAGCCACACUGGAACUGAGACACGGUCCAGACUCCUACGGGAGGCAGCAGUGGGGAAUAUUGGACAAUGGGCGCAAGCCUGAUCC
rnacentral:rRNA from 1 species